AUUGAACGCUGGCGGCAUGCCUAACACAUGCAAGUCGAACGGUAACACGCCUACGGCUUCUGACUACUGGUGACCGGGUGCGUACUGGUUAGGAACGUAUCCGGAGCUGGUGUUUCGCGCAGCGCAACCUGUGCUAAUAUCCCCUAUUAUCUCAUAAGGACAACGGGGGACCGCACAGCAACUUUUGGCCUUGCGCCUUUGGAUCGGCCGAUGUCGGAUUAGCUAGUUGGUGGGGUAAAGGCCCACCAAGGCGACGAUCCGUAGCUGGUCUGAGAGGAUGAUCGGCCACACUGGAACUGAGACACGGUCCAGACUCCUACGGGAGGCAGCAGUAGGGAAUAUUGGACGAUGGGCGCAAGCCUGAUCCAGCCAUACCGCGUGAGUGAAGAAGGCCUUCGGGUUGUAAAGCCCUUUUGUUGGGAAAGAAAAGCAGCAGGUUAAUACCCCGCUGUUCUGACGGUACCCAAAGAAUAAGCACCGGCUAACUUCGUG
rnacentral:rRNA from 1 species